AAACAUUGCUUAAAGAACAAAUUUUAAGUAAAACCUGCUCAAUGAAUAAAUAUAUUUUAUUUAAAUAAAUAGCCGCAGAAUUUUAACUGUGCUAAGGUAGCAUAAUCAUUUGUCUUUUAAUUUAAGACUAGAAUGAACGGUUUAACAUUUUAUUUACUUUUUUAAAUUUACCCAAUCUAAAUUAUAUUAAAUAUAAAAAUAUAUUUAUAAAAAAAUUAGACGACAAGACCCUGUCGAACUUUACUUUAGUUUAGCUGGGGCAGCUACUUAAUUAAAAUUUUAAUUUAAAUAAAAUAAUAAAAGAUCCAAUAAAAUUGAUCACUUGAUCAAGUUACCGCAGGGAUAACAGCGUAAUUAUUUUUUAAAGCUCUUAUUUAAAAUUAAGAUUGCGACCUCGAUGUUGAAUUAAUUUUCUUUUUUACGAAAAAGUAUCAAAAGUAGGUCUGUUCGACCUUUAAAAUUUUACAUGAUCU
rnacentral:rRNA from 1 species